UAGUGGGAUUGCUGGGUCGUAUGGUAGUUCUAUUUGUAGUUUUUUAAGGAACCUCCAUACUGUUCUCCAUAGGGUCCACCCCUUUUUAUAUUGACUUCAUCCUUCUUGUCAUCCUUCUGAUUCAUCCAUUCCUCUCAAUCUUCUUAUAAAUGCACAUAAAAUUUCACCGCCUUUGUUGUUGAAACAAAACACUAUUCUUGCUAUCUUUUAAUUAAACUCGAGGUAAAGAAAUAAAAAAGAUGGGCAGAUAAAGUAGUUAUUUCAGGAGAGACCUACACAUUAGACUCUAAAGCCUUGGUUCUCAAUAGGGAGCAAUUUUGGCCCCCAGGAGACAUUUGGCAAUAUCUGCACACAUUUUUGGUUGUCAUGACUGGGGGUGGGUGGGUUUCUACAGGAAUCUAGUGAGUAGAGGCCACAGAGGCUACAAACCAUUUCACAAUGCACACAGGACAGCCUCUGACCACAAAGAAUUAUCUGAUUCAAAGUGCCAGAAUUGAGAAACACUGCUCUAAAGGAAUACUUAAAAUUGUGAGUACACAUUUUUAAAUAAUGAAACAUAUUAAAUUUAUAAAAUAGGAUUGAGAAAAAUAUGGAUUUACUUAUGCCUACAGCAUGGACUUUACUUUUGACCCGCAAAGUUUGUUUUACAUUGAUGAAUAGCCUGAUGAUAUUGCCUUGUAGUCAGUGUCUUCAUCUACUUGGUCUGCUAUAACAAAAAUACCAUGGACUGGGUGGCUUAAACAACAGACAUUUGUUUCUCAUAGUUCUGGGGUCUGGGAAGUCCAAGAUCAAGGUGCCAGCAGAUUCAGUCAUACGUAUGAGACCCUACCUCCAAAUACCUAUACAUUGGGGAUUAGGAUUUCAACAUAUGAAUUUUGGGGGGAAGUAAACUUUCAGCCCAUAACAGUCAACAAAAUAAAUCUGCUUUAAAUCUAGCCAAGGACAGACAGUAUCAUAAUUUCAGUGGAAAAAAAUCUGUAAAUUACAUUAAAUAAGCUUAUUGAAAAAAAUCUCUUUCAAGUGUUAGCACUAUGCUGUUACACUUCAUAAUCCACAUCUCCAUUUUCUUUACAUAUGUCCCUGCAUCAUUGAAGGUGUUACGAUACAGAGGAAGAACUUGGCCCGGGAGGCAGAAAACCUGGGCUGCAGUCUGGACUGGGCUAAGAACAUUAAGGUUUUUAGUACAACUGACGUCUUAGAAGGCCCUUCCUUUCCAGGGAAGUCACUAAUCAAGGCAGCCAUUGUAUAGACUUUAUGGAUGUGAUUCGUUUCGGUGUUGGUCUUCCCCGGUGGACAGUGAUGGGCUUCACAGGAGGGAAGUGUCUUCAUUUUCACGUCGCCAGUGCCUGGCACAAAGCAGGUACUCAGCAAAGGGUGGUGUGUCAGGUUGAUUUUCUCAGUCACUCCUGACCUCUCUCCCUACGGUGGAUGCAUGUUGGUUUGUCACUGUCCCUCUUUAGAAGUGAUCCCAGAAUGAAAAAAACGUUUUCCAGAUUUUAGCCCUUCAGGGUACAGAGUGCCCAUCGGCUCUGGAAACCAGGUUUUCCUCGGCUUUCACUUUCUAAUCUAAACGUAAGCCUUUAUUUGUAUCUCUGAUAAAUGUAAUCUUGUUUCCUGCAGGAAAGGAUAACUUCAUCUUGCCAGACCAAAACGAAAAAUCUCAGUUUUAAUUCUGUCAUCUGUCACAUCUACUCUAUCAACCAGUUUGAUGUCAUCUGUGUAUGGGAGGAUAAUGUGAAAUAUGUGCAUUAGCCUUUUUAAUGCAAUUGUGUAUUUAGUGCCAAAGAAAAAAAUAUCCAGUAUGUCAAAUUAUUUAUUGGGAAAUUUUUAUUUUUCUAAUUCAAGAUUCUAAAAAACUACAUUCCUCUCUCUUUCCACCCACCACCAAAGCUUUAGAUAGCUUUGGAAAAAUAUGUCAUCAUUUAAUAUAUAUGUCCUCUGCCUAAUAUCUGCCUGACCCCUACAGACCCUCUAUGUGUCCCAGCUAUGCACUCCAAUAGCAUCCUGUACAUUCACUAACAUAGAGCUCAUCACAUCUCAUGGCAUAGUUUGUAUCACUGUCUCUAUCCCUUACCAGUCGACAGUCUCAAUAUUUAUAUUUUACUCAAUAUCUCAAUUGCUUAGCACACUGCCUGACUAAA